CACAAAUCUGCGAAUACAAGGGACACACGCAUAGCUCUGCGUGCAGCUAAGGAGAAUAAUAUGGAUUCAGCCACUUAAAGGAGGCACAUGGGGGACCCACGGGCACAGGUCUGGCAGGUGGAAAAGGGAGCAAGGGGAACUCCACAAGCUUCACUGCCAAGGAUGCCAAGAUUUAUUUAGGAAACUUAAAAACAAUCAAAUUCUUCCCAGGCAAAUAUGCAACUCCAAAGAACGUCAUUUAUCUCCGAAACCCGUCACAAACUCAGCUCUAAAGGAACAUCACCGCGUGACCCCAAAGGGACGGAGACUACGGGGGCUGUUUAACACGGGMGACACGAGGAGGGGCCCCAAGGCAGGGCACAGGGAGCGCCAGCCCGGGCACAGCCAGCCCGGGAGGGGACACCCAGAUUUCUUCCCCUCCUCAGUGGUGGAACAGGCUUGGUCCCCAGGGCAGCACACUACAGGAUGGAGAUGACCCGGACUGGUGCCUUGAGCCUCUUUCCCUGGAUAAAAUCCUGCCUUGCACGUGGUGCUGACCCCAGAAACAUCUCUCCUUAGAUAUGAAAAGUGCCUCAGACCAAUUCCCAGCAUYGUCAACAGCUGGUAUGGGACAACCUCAACACAAGGGCCACAAARACCUUCUCCCUUCCCAUUCCCAACUACCUGCGGAUGCAGCUCUUCACAGAAAGGAGUUUUAGAAGCAUCUGGUGAAAAGAACCUAUGGAGCAAGAUCAGUUCUUGUAAAUCCCUUGUGCGGUAUUUGACUGCCCACACUCUGGACUACCACCAGGUUUGGGUUGUACAGUUAACUUGAACUUUUACAGUUGUGAUGUUUUUUUAGAUAAAGGAACAAAGAAAUAAAUUUUAAAAAAGGAAGGAAAAGGAGGGUGAAUACAUUUUUGGAGCAAGGACAGAGUGGGUGAGUGGGGAGCACAGAAGGAAAUCCCAACUGCCCGUUUUGUGAUGGUACUGCUGAAGAUGGAGAGUUUGAUUUGGAGUCCUUGGAUUCAAGGCAUGCUGUUGGAUCCUUGCUAGGUUGUGCAGGAUGGGAGGAAAAUCAGGUAAAUUUUGCACUAAAAGUCAUAGCUGACAUGUGAGACUGUGAGCAAACUGGACCUCCAGAACUGGGUCAUGGCUGGGGUUGGUUGGAGCCUAUCUCCAAGCUGAUUUCAAUGGGAAAAGCUAAAUAUGGGUUCACAUCUCACAACUGCCCAGGGCCCAGCUUUCCCCCUCCCUUUAAAUCUGAUUUCAGCUCUGUGCCUCUUUGCACCUUAUAAGCAUCCUGUUUGAACAUAUCCAUGUAAGUUCUCUGCUCCUCCCCCAAAAGGACCCAAAGAGGCAGGAUGGUA